AUCGGAGUAACUCAGGGGUAGAGUAACAAACCAAAUGCAGGUUCGAAUCCUGCUUCCAAAA
rnacentral:tRNA from 1 species